UUGUGCUUAAGCCCUAUUGUUCAGUGUUUUUAUAGACGACUCUUUGAAUCCAUUUUGGAUUCUGCAUGGAGAGGAAAAGGCUUCAAGUAUGCUCUCAUCCCAGGGUUCUUAGGUCAUGCAGAUAAAACCUAAGCUGGAUUUUCACAGAAUUUUCAAGGAACCAUACCCACCAUCUACACCUGUACUUUCCACUGGUUAUUUUUUAGACCACCCAAAUUUGUUUUUCCUACAAAACACACAACAGAAAUGUAAGAUGGCCAGAAAGUUUGCUCUCCUUCAUCUGCUGAUGGCUUUGGCCAUCCUGAUUUGCUCUCCAUUUCUGAGAGUCCAGUUCACUGGAGAAGGGGAAGCACAAAUAUCAAGCUAGCUUCUUGCAUAUAUUAUCUUGUGAUAAUUCACAGUAAACAGCAGUAAAUGAAGAGUCUUAGUGCAGAAAUAUCUGGUGUUAUGAUGUACUCUAUACAACUAAUUUUAAAAAGAAAUCCUUAUCUCCUCUUAUUACCAUGCAGGCCCUUCACAUUUCUGUCUUUUAGCAUUUUUUCCCCUUCAGGUUUGUGAGUGAUAUGGACCCCCGUUGAUCCAUGCUCCAGAUGGAUUAUGACAUAACUGGGUUCUUCUCAGUGUCUGUCACUUCCGGUUUUGCCGACUCCCUACACUUCAAUCCUUCCACGUCUCAGGAGCUCCACCAUCCUACAGCUGUCCUGGUCCUUUCACCAGCGAUCUGUUAAAGGAACUAAUUUUAACUUUAUAAUGGCUUUAUUCUACACUUAAUAACUGCAUCAAUUUGAGCAAGUCACUUACCUCUUGGUGAAUUUCCUCAUCUUUGAAAUACUGAUGUUUGACUGGAUCACACUGGAAAUCUUUCAAGAGUGAGGAUUCUAUGGCAAGCCAGAAAUUAAGUCAAGAGCUUUACGGCUUCCAAAUAGAAGACUGGAGGGAGGUGAUGCUGAAUUUAACCAAAAUAAUUAAUUUCUAAUGGUGAAGUCCAGAAACUGGCCUCACAUCAUUUCUGCCGUACUCCAUUGGCCAGAGCUCCCAGGAAGGACACUCGUCUCACUACGAAGAGCAUCAAGGAACUGAGGCUGCCACUCAUUUGCCACACACUGUGGGACAUAUGAUCUAAUAAGAAAUCCUAAUGCCUUGAGUUUUCAUUUGCCUCAUUUUUUUUUUUUUUUUAUAAAUAGUAAGUAAAUAAAUGUUUGAUCUGACCGACUUUCCUAACGGUGGACUUCUGGCAUUUUGAGUGAUGCAAUUCUUUGUGUGCACAUGUGCUAAAAAUCACAGGGUCUUUAGCAUCCCACGAAACGUCAUGUAUGCCUAACCCUCACCACUGGAUGAUAAAAACAUGAUCUGAAAUAUUUCACAGCUCUCCCUGAUGAAGCAGACAGCUCUCUCAGAUGAAAACCACAGGCCCGAUGUCUUCAUAUGGUAGAUUUCCUGAUCAGGUUACUAUUUGGCCUGUAUUGAUGCAGACAACAAUAACAUGAUUUCUUUUUGUUCCAUUCCAAUACAGACAAUUCAACGUUCCCCCUAUUUGUAUCCUCUUAUGUUCAUAUCCAUGCAUGUGGAGAGCUGUGGGGGUAUAUAAUAUACACCUCCCCUCAAGCAGGUAAUUCCAUUAUCAGAGACAUAUUAUUCAAUGUUCAAUU